UACGAAGGGGGCGAGCGUUGCUCGGAAUCACUGGGCGUAAAGGGUGCGUAGGCGGGUCUUUAAGUCAGGGGUGAAAUCCUGGAGCUCAACUCCAGAACUGCCUUUGAUACUGAAGAUCUUGAGUCCGGGAGAGGUGAGUGGAACUGCGAGUGUAGAGGUGAAAUUCGUAGAUAUUCGCAAGAACACCAGUGGCGAAGGCGGCUCACUGGCCCGGUACUGACGCUGAGGUGCGAAAGCGUGGGGAGCAAACAGG
rnacentral:rRNA from 1 species